rnacentral:rRNA from 1 species
AUUGAACGCUGGCGGCAGGCCUAACACAUGCAAGUCGAGUGGUAGAGAGAAGCUUGCUUCUCUUGAGAGCGGCGGACGGGUGAGUAAUGCCUAGGAAUCUGCCUGGUAGUGGGGGAUAACGUUCGGAAACGGACGCUAAUACCGCAUACGUCCUACGGGAGAAAGCAGGGGACCUUCGGGCCUUGCGCUAUCAGAUGAGCCUAGGUCGGAUUAGCUAGUUGGUGAGGUAAUGGCUCACCAAGGCGACGAUCCGUAACUGGUCUGAGAGGAUGAUCAGUCACACUGGAACUGAGACACGGUCCAGACUCCUACGGGAGGCAGCAGUGGGGAAUAUUGGACAAUGGGCGAAAGCCUGAUCCAGCCAUGCCGCGUGUGUGAAGAAAGUCUUCGGAUUGUAAAGCACUUUAAGUUGGGAGGAAGGGUUGUAGAUUAAUACUCUGCAAUUUUGACGUUACCGACAGAAUAAGCACCGGCUAACUCUGUGCCAGCAGCCGCGGUAA